rnacentral:tRNA from 1 species
GCCUGGAUGGCUCACUUGGUUAAGCAUCUGACUUCAGCUCAGGUCAUGAUCUCGCGGUUCGUUGGUUGGAGCCCCACUUCAGGCU